AAAGAAAACCAGACAUGGAAUAGAAAACCAGAAAAACCAAGAAAAACUAAACAAGAAUUGUUUAGUUUUUCUUGGUUUUUCUGGUUUUCUAUUCCAUGUCUGGUUUU